UAGAAAUUGACUAAGGCAGAAUGAAUUCUAUAUUAUAUCCAUGCAAAGUAACUGCAUAUGUGAAUAUUAUAAAAAAUAAGAAUUGAAUGAACUACAUCUAUAUAUCAAAAAAUAAUGCCGCUUACAAAGAAAAUUCUAUAGAUGUGUUUCCUGCCUCAUAAAUACCAUGACUCACACAUUAGGCUAUAAGAAAGAUACUGAGAAAUAGGGUAGGGAAGAAAGAAGGGGCGGUCACAAAACUUCAAGCAAACACAAGAUUAGUCCUUCAAGUGAAAUACAAAUCAAGGGUAAAUGGGCAAAAAGCAUUUCAAGUCUGAAUGAAAGGAAAAUGCUUCACUUCCUUCCCAUAGAUUAUCACUCAUUUCUAAUUUUCCUUUCCUGGGAGCCUUUGGGGAAAAAAGUCUGGUUCCAUUAUCUGGCCAAGCACUGAUAAGUCAAUGAAACAUUAUAGGAGCACUGGGCUGGGAAUAUGGCCUAGUGGCAAGAGUGCUUGCCUUGUAUAC